UAAGGUGAGCACGCCAGGCAGCAUCCAGUUUGUUGGCAUGACGGUUAGCCAGUUUUCAGGUCAGAUCAGCAACUCCAGUGGAGAUGACACCUAAGGAUUGCACUUUGUUGAUGUGGAACAGCGAUACGAAUACAAACAAACGAUGUGGCCUGAUCAUCUGAUCUGCAUUGUAGGUGCAGGGUGUGUUCAGAAAAUUCGUUUAAGUCUUCUCCCAUGUUAACUGCAGAUAUUUAGUACCUUCA